CCCUUAGACGUUCUGGGCCGCACGCGCGCUACACUGACCAGUGCAACAAGCAUCCGUCCUUGGCCGACAGGCUCGGGCAAUCUUUGAACGCUGGUCGUGAUGGGGAUAGACUUUUGCAAUUUUUGGUCUUCAACGAGGAAUUCCUAGUAAACGCAAGUCAUCAACUUGCAUUGAUUACGCCCCUGCCCUUUGUACACACCGCCCGUCGCGCCUACCGAUUGAAUGGUCCGGUGAAGCCUCCGGAUUGGCGCGCACCUCGGUGCCGCCGAGAAGUUGGCUAAACCUUACCAUUUAGAGGAAGGUGAANUCGUAACA
rnacentral:rRNA from 1 species